rnacentral:rRNA from 1 species
UACGGGGGGGGCAAGCGUUGUUCGGAAUUACUGGGCGUAAAGGGCUUGUAGGUGGCCAACUAAGUCAGACGUGAAAUCCCUCGGCUUAACCGGGGAACUGCGUCUGAUACUGGAUGGCUAGAGUUUGGGAGAGGGAUGCGGAAUUCCAGGUGUAGCGGUGAAAUGCGUAGAUAUCUGGAGGAACACCGGUGGCGAAGGCGGCAUCCUGGACCAACACUGACACUGAAAAGCGAAAGCCAGGGGAGCAAACGGG